rnacentral:lncRNA from 1 species
AAACACUUCCCAUUCCCGGGCCGAGUUGCUAGCAGAGGGUUGGAUCAGAGAGCCUGGUCCCACUCCAUCACACAAAACUCACUCUUCCACGCUGUAUGGUACCAAGGGAAGGGGGUGGGGUGGGGGGGGGGAGAUUUAUGCCACUUGAUCCUUGAAAUAGCAACAAUUACCAUGUGAUCUGGCGGAUGACGCAGCGCUUGUAACUGGAUCCUAAAGAGUGUGAGUGUGUGUGUAUGUGUGUGACAUUUCGUAAAUAUUAAACUGCCUUUAGACAGUAACCUGCACAAAUUCAUCUUGGUCUUUGACUUUUACUUCUUUUCUAUUUUUGAUGCCUGGAUGGAUUCAGAAAGGAAGGCGUGUGUGUGUGUGUGUGUGCGUGUGUGUGUGUUAGUUACUUUGAAGUCUCAUGGUUCUGACCCUAGUAAGAAUGACAGGGCAAUACCAGUUCCAAGGUUUUUCAGCGUAAAGCCUUACUGGACAGAGUGAACUAAAAUUGUUGGUGGGGAAGUUGGAUGAACAUAGGGUAAUGAGCCAAAUGAUUACGGAAAAGAGAAAGGCCAUGUGUUAACUGUAAACUUUUUGUGUCUGGCUUUUUUUCCAUCUACUACCCUUCAGUCUUGUAUACAGAGCAUCCAAAUUAUAUCACAAUCUCUUCCUCAAUGGCUCAGAAGUGGUGGCCACCAGUGCUAAGCUGGGUCACACUACCAGUUCCAGUUUGGGGGAGAAAUUGCAUCUUUAAUUAUCUGUGUUUAGGUCUUACCUGUGCAUCCACCAUCUACCCUAUGCUAAAAGGAUUAUUCUGCACAGUAGAAUAAUCGCGUAUUCACGGAUUCUUACAAUUUCCUUUUUUAUAUCUAUCACAGAGAGCAUUUACAUAACAUAAGUCACUAUUUGAGAGUUUGAUUUGAUAGGGAAUGAGAAGUAUUUCUUCUGAUAAUAGUCAACACAUUGGUAAUUUUUUUAAGGAAAAAAAUAGUUGCAACUAAGAUACCAGGAGAUUCUUUCCUAAAUUGUAACUUUUCUUAAAAAAGAAAAAUCAAUGUAUAAUUACUGGCUACUUACAAAAAAAAAAUUAUUCUACCUUUUCUGAAACAACUAAAUAAAGGAAAAACAGGUGUA